UAGGAUACAGAGAAGAUUAGCAUGGCCCCUGCAUAAGGAUGACAUGCAAAUCUGUGAAGCAUUCCACAACAUA
rnacentral:snRNA from 1 species